GGAAUCUUGCGCAAUGCGCGAAAGCGUGACGCAGCAACGCCGCGUGGGGGAAGACGGCUUUCGGGUUGUAAACCCCUUUCAGGAGGGACGAAGGCUCACCGGUGAAUAGCCGUGUGGGUUGACGGUACCUCCAGAAGAAGCUCCGGCUAACUACGUGCCAGCAGCCGCGGUAAUACGUAGGGAGCAAGCGUUGUCCGGAAUCAUUGGGCGUAAAGCGCGCGUAGGCGGCCUCGUAAGUCCGUUGUGAAAGUCAAAGGCUCAACCUUUGAAAGCCGAUGGAUACUGCGAGGCUAGAGUCCGGAAGAGGCGAGUGGAAUUCCUGGUGUAGCGGUGGAAUGCGCAGAUAUCAGGAGGAACACCAAUAGCGAAGGCAGCUCGCUGGGACGGUACUGACGCUAAGGCGCGAAAGCGUGGGGAGCGAA
rnacentral:rRNA from 1 species